rnacentral:rRNA from 1 species
UACGAAGGGGGCUAGCGUUGCUCGGAAUCACUGGGCGUAAAGCGCACGUAGGCGGAUUGUUAAGUCAGGGGUGAAAUCCUGGAGCUCAACUCCAGAACUGCCUUUGAUACUGGCGAUCUCGAGUCCGGGAGAGGGUCGUGGAAUUCCCCGGUGUAGCGGUGAAAUGCGCAGAUAUCAGGAGGAACACCAAUGGCGAAGGCAGCUCGCUGGGACGUGACUGACGCUGAGACGCGAAAGCGUGGGAGCAAACAGG